rnacentral:rRNA from 1 species
GGACGGGUGAGUAACGCGUGAGAAUUUGCCUUUAGGAGGGGGAUAACAACUGGAAACGGUUGCUAAUACCCCAUAUGCUUUAGAGUGAAAUGGAUUUUCCGCCUAAAGAGAAGCUUGCGGCUGAUUAGCUUGUUGGUGAGGUAAUGGCUCACCAAGGCGACGAUCAGUAUCUGGUUUGAGAGGACGAUCAGGCACACUGGAACUGAGACACGGUCCAGACUCCUACGGGAGGCAGCAGUGGGGAAUUUUCCGCAAUGGGCGAAAGCCUGACGGAGCAAUACCGCGUGAGGGAUGACUGCCUAUGGGUUGUAAACCUCUUUUUUCAGGGAGGAACAAAAUGACGUGUACCUGAAGAAUAAGCAUCGGCUAACUCCGUGCCAGCAGCCGCGGUAAGACGGAGGAUGCAAGUGUUAUCCGGAAUCACUGGGCGUAAAG